AGAAUAAAAUAACACAACAUAACCCUGGUUGUCCAUCUCCAACAGGAUCUAUAGAGAAUAACAGACCAUGUUAAACAAGGUGCUGACCAUGUUAAACAGGUGGUGACCAUGUUAAAACAGGUGGUGACCAUGUUAAAACAGGUGGUGACCAUGUUAAAACAGGUCCAUGUUAAAACAGGCAGUGACCAUGUUAAAACAGGUGGUGACCAUGUUAAAACAGGUGGUGACCAUGUUAAAACAGGUGGUGACCAUGUUAAAACAGGCAGUGACCAUGUUAAAACAGGUGGUGACCAUGUUAAAACAGGUGGUGACCAUGUUAAAACAGGUGGUGACCAUGUUAAAACAGGUGGUGACCAUGUUAAAACAGGUGGUGACCAUGUUAAAACAGGUCCUUGUAAAAACAGGUGGUGACCAUGUUAAAACAGGUGGUGACCAUGUUAAAACAGGUCCAUGUUAAAACAGGUGGUGACCAUGUUAAAACAGGUGGUGACCAUGUUAAAACAGGUGGUGACCAUGUUAAAACAGGUGGUGACCAUGUUAAAACAGGUGCUGACCAUGUUAAAACAGGUGGUGACCAUGUUAAAACAGGUGGUGACCAUGUUAAAACAGGUGGUGACCAUGUUAAAACAGGUGGUGACCAUGUUAAAACAGGUGGUGACCAUGUUAAAACAGGUGGUGACCAUGUUAAAACAGGUCCAUGUUAAAACAGGUGGUGACCAUGUUAAAACAGGUGGUGACCAUGUUAAAACAGGUGGUGACCAUGUUAAAACAGGUGGUGACCAUGUUAAAACAGGUCCAUGUUAAAACAGGUGGUGACCAUGUUAAAACAGGUGGUGACCAUGUUAAAACAGGUGGUGACCAUGUUAAAACAGGUGGUGACCAUGUUAAAACAGGUCCAUGUUAAAACAGGUGGUGACCAUGUUAAAACAGGUGGUGACCAUGUUAAAACAGGUGGUGACCAUGUUAAAACAGGUGGUGACCAUGUUAAAACAGGUGGUGACCAUGUUAAAACAGGUGGUGACCAUGUUAAAACAGGUGGUGACCAUGUUAAAACAGGUGGUGACCAUGUUAAAACAGGUGGUGACCAUGUUAAAACAGGUGGUGACCAUGUUAAAACAGGUGGUAACCAUGUUAAAACAGGUGGUGACCAUGUUAAAACAGGUGGUGACCAUGUUAAAACAGGUGGUGACCAUGUUAAAACAGGUGGUGACCAUGUUAAAACAGGUGGUGACCAUGUAAAAACAGGUGGUGACCAUGUUAAAACAGGUGGUGACCAUGUUAAAACAGGUGGUGACCAUGUUAAACAGGUGGUGACCAUGUUAAAACAGGUGGUGACCAUGUUAAAACAGGUGGUGACCAUGUUAAAACAGGUGGUGACCAUGUUAAAACAGGUCCAUGUUAAAACAGGUGGUGACCAUGUUAAAACAGGUGGUGACCAUGUUAAAACAGGUGGUGACCAUGUUAAAACAGGUGGUGACCAUGUUAAAACAGGUGGUGACCAUGUUAAAACAGAUGGUGACCAUGUUAAAACAGGUGGUGACCAUGUUAAAACAGGUGGUGACCAUGUUAAAACAGAUGGUGACCAUGUUAAAACAGGUGGUGACCAUGUUAAAACAGGUGGUGACCAUGUUAAAACAGGUGGUGACCAUGUUAAAACAGGUCCAUGUUAAAACAGGUGGUGACCAUGUUAAAACAGGUGGUGACCAUGUAAAAACAGGUGGUGACCAUGUAAAAACAGGUGGUGACCAUGUUAAAACAGGUCCUUGUUAAAACAGGUGGUGACCAUGUAAAAACAGGUGGUGACCAUGUAAAAACAGGUGCUGACCAUGUUAAAACAGGUCCUUGUUAAAACAGGUGGUGACCAUGUAAAAACAGGUGGUGACCAUGUUAAAACAGGUGGUGAUCAUGUUAAAACAGGUGGUGACCAUGUUAAAACAGGUGGUGACCAUGUAAAAACAGGUGGUGACCAUGUUAAAACAGGUGGUGACCAUGUUAAAACAGGUGGUGACCAUGUUAAAACAGGUCCAUGUUAAAACAGGUGGUGACCAUGUUAAAACAGGUGGUGACCAUGUUAAAACAGGUGGUGACCAUGUUAAAACAGGUGGUGACCAUGUUAAAACAGGUCCAUGUUAAAACAGGUGGUGACCAUGUUAAAACAGGUGGUGACCAUGUUAAAACAGGUGGUGACCAUGUUAAAACAGGUGGUGACCAUGUUAAAACAGGUGGUGACCAUGUUAAAACAGGUGGUGACCAUGUUAAAACAGGUGGUGACCAUGUUAAAACAGGUGGUGACCAUGUUAAAACAGGUGCUGACCAUGUUAAAACAGGUGGUGACCAUGUUAAAACAGGUGGUGACCAUGUUAAAACAGGUGGUAACCAUGUUAAAACAGGUAGUGACCAUUCUGAAACAGAUACUGAUGUUUGAUGAUGUCAUAUUCUGUCUGCUCAGGUGA